GUGAUAUUGGGUGAAUACUUUAAGUGUUCAUAUGGAUUGGUAAAAUCCAUUAAAGAAGGAUUUCAAAUAAUAAUCGAGGUUAGGACGGGCUCAGCUUACGAAGUUUUACCAUUUUUGGUGGUUUUAACAUCAUGGGAUGGAUGCACCAGGAGGAAGGGGGCUUUGCCUUUGGGUUAGUUGGUGGUUAUGUUCCACGAGACGUUACUGAGACGCCCAUCUAAUGUGAAUCAUGGGGUUAUGUGGGAGUCUUUGCUCAGUGAUAAGCAAAUUGUAUGGCUUCCUCUCUUGGUUGAUCAUUAUACAUUUGGGCACCAGAUUAAUGGUAGACAACACUGAAAUGGCUAGCCUAGUCAUGCCAAUCCUUCCUUAAAAUGUUCUUCAACAAGAAUAUAAAAAUCAGAGAGAUGCAAACAUAUUAUAGGAAAAGAAAAUAGAAAAGAAGUUGUGAAAAAGCACAUUAUAGCUGAAGUUAACAUUACAGCUUGAAACUGCAUAGUGAGUCUGUACAAUUGUUUGAUAAUUACAAAGCCAACAAAUAAUGGAUGGACUGUCCGUUAGAUAUCCGCAAGUUUAUGUACAAAAUACUUUGACAAAAUAUCAAUCUAGAAACAUCUAGGUGAGUUUUCCCAGAUUGAUUCUACCAACAUCAACCAUUUUAUGUAAUUUAUUACUCUUUUCUCACCUCCAUAUUUUAUA